UACGUAGGGGGCUAGCGUUGUCCGGAUUUAUUGGGCGUAAAGAGCUCGUAGGUGGUUCGGUAAGUCGGAUGUGAAAUCUCCAGGCUCAACCUGGAGGGGGCAUUCGAUACUGCCGUGACUAGAGUUCGGUAGAGGAGUGUGGAAUUCCGGGUGUAGUGGUGAAAUGCGUAGAUAUCCGGAGGAACACCAAAGGCGAAGGCACUGUCCUGGGGAGCUUCUGACGCUCAGGUGCGAAAGCCAGGGGAGCGAACGGG
rnacentral:rRNA from 1 species